ACGAACGCUGGCGGCAGGCUUAACACCUGCAAGUCGAGCGCACCGCACGGUGAGCGGCCGACGGGUGAGUAACGCGUGGGAAUCUACCCAACCCUACGGAAUAACCCAGGGAAACUUGGACUAAUACCGUAUACGCCCUUUUGGGGAAAGAUUUAUCGGGGAUGGAUGAGCCCGCGUUGGAUUAGCUAGUUGGUGGGGUAAAGGCCUACCAAGGCGACGAUCCAUAGCUGGUCUGAGAGGAUGAUCAGCCACAUUGGGACUGAGACACGGCCCAAACUCCUACGGGAGGCAGCAGUGGGGAAUAUUGGACAAUGGGCGCAAGCCUGAUCCAGCCAUGCCGCGUGAGUGAUGAAGGCCUUAGGGUUGUAAAGCUCUUUCAGUAGGGAAGAUAAUGACGGUACCUACAGAAGAAGCCCCGGCUAACUUCGUG
rnacentral:rRNA from 1 species